AUCACAGUUUCUACCACCAGUAAGACUAGAAUCCCAUACAUGAUUCUCAAGGCUAGGAGAUGCUACUUCUGUCGAGAGGUGUUCCUGCAGAUAAGGAGCUACAGAUCCUUUAAUUUGUUAUUGUUUUCUUCUCUUUUAAUCACACACCCGAGUGCGCACGCACACGCACACACAUAUAUAAUUUAGUUUUCUGUUAAAAUGAUUACAUCUUAAUGAAAAGCUCAUGUUAAAAUUAUUUACCUUUAAUUAAUGUAAAAAUGUAUGUUGAUUUUCUUUGAAACUCCAAGUAUAUAUUCUGAUUUUUUAUGUGAGCUAUUUGUGUAUUAGUAUCUGAGGUGCACAACAUUUUGAAUUAUUCAGGCACUAACAACACUUAAGGGGCGUCAUCAGCUCUUGAGGAUUGGACAUGGACCUAUUGGGCUUUGCACAAAAUUUGGCAUCAAUAAGGAGCAAUACGAAAAACGGCGGAAACUUCUCAUCGGCUCUCCUCUAGAGCUGAUCUGUUCAUCUAAUUCUUGACACUAUAAUUGAGAGGCAGGAGCUUUCACAAUUGACAGGCUGUGAUCUUUAUCUCCACGAGGACCUUUCUAUUGCUGCUACGGGUCCGACCGAAGGAAUGAGGUUAGCCAGGAAGAUUGUGACAGACUGCAUUGUCCAUAGAGUUCAUCCUGCAUUUC